GUCAAGUCAUCAUGCCCCUUACGUCCAGGGCUGCAAACAUGCUACAAUGGCCGGUACAAAGGGCUGCUAUCCCGCGAGGGUGAGCGAAUCCCAAAAAGCCGGUCUCAGUUCGGAUUGGAGUCUGCAACUCGACUCCAUGAAGUCGGAGUCGCUAGUAAUCCCGGAUCAGCUACGCCGGGGUGAAUACGUUCCCGGGCCUU
rnacentral:rRNA from 1 species